AAAAAGAUAAACCCUGGGUUUUCCUGUCUAACAUUUGACUGUCCGUCUUAUAUUAAAUUUUUUAUAAUUAGUAUUUUUAUUGUUGGUAGAUGAUAAAACAUGAUUAAUACUUUAUACGUGAUUUAUCUUUUAUUUUUUUUAUAUAUUUUUUAAAUAAUACGGACGGUCAAACGUUGGAUACAGAAACACAGUGUUUGUCUUUUU
rfam:Oryza glaberrima chromosome 7 Oglab07_unplaced154_2, whole genome shotgun sequence.